AAUCAACCCAUUUCCGCCACGUCUGUGUCAAAAUUUCCCUCCUACACAUAACUUGAAUUUGCAAUUCAUUCUCUCUCAUGUUCUCUCUUCUCCUCUCACUUUUCCAAAUCCCUUCUUAUCCUCUCUUCAAACCCUAAUAAUGUCACAGCCCCUUCCUUCAAUCCUAUCUACGUCCACCACUGCCUCUCACAAAAAUACGAAAUUCAUUUUGGUACUCAUCAUCUCAUGACCUUUCUCGGUUGGAUUUUUGAUUCAAGCUAUCUAUUGAUUCACUACUCACCAAUUUUUUGUUAGAUUUUAAGCUGAAAAUGGAUACAAAGAGAAAAUGGUGAGAUUAGGGUUUAUUAGGUUUAAUGUUUGAUUAUGUUUCUGUAAGAUUUACUUCCUUUAUCUUUUUGUUUUCAAUCUUUCAUUUCUGCUCCAUAUACUUCCUUUAUCUAUUUGUUUUCAAUCUUCAAAACAGAGAAAGUGGUGAGAUUCUUUGUUUUUGAUGGAUCAUUAUUAGUGUUGAUUUUAUAGACCUGAAGACUUGGUUUUUUUUUAUGUUUCUGCAAUAUUAAUGCACAAGUAGCUGUUAAUAGAAAGAAAACGGCAUUACAUCUUCGUCUUACAUGUAGAUCGAUUUUGAAGAUAUGGAAAUAAGAGACAAAGAAGUUUUAUUUGCCAAGGAGGUUCUGCAGGAUGUCCUUGGCGUUCAUGAUGUUAUAUGCUCAAUACUUCGUAUAUGCAUUUUGUUUGUUUCUUAGGUUUUGAAUUUUUAACCACUAGACAUAUUUAAUAAAAGAGCCCUUGAGUUUGUUGUUGAUCUAAGCAUGUAUUACCUUGCUUCCAAAAAUCUCUGUACAGAUAUUUUUUGUUAAAGUGGAAAAAUGGAAGACUACUUGAUGUUUAUAUGCAUAUUUAAGAUCUCACCUUCUGGAACUGAAUCAGUAACCAUGGAAGCUAAAAAAAAGGUGCUGCUAUGCUUGGACAGAAGAAACCUGUUCAUAGAAAAUCUAGACACUUUUGGACAGAACUUCAAAGUAUAGAGGUGUCACGAGAUUAUAUGCUGCUCGACGGGAUAAUUGCAUUUUGCAACCUAAAUAACUUGCAUAUUGAGCAUUGAUGUCAUAUUUAAAGAUGAAUUAUCACGGGAUCCUUACAAAGUUAUGUAAAUCUCCUUCCUUCUGGCCUUUAAGUUUGGGAAUAUUUGUAGAAAGAAAUUCAUUCUGAAGAUUAAUGAAUAAUCAGAUACUAGCAUAGCAUAAUUAAUGAUUGUUUAACAAUUGGUAUUCUGAAAAAAAUCACUUCAAGUUAACUUAACAAGAGGACCGUGGCUGUGAUUUGGGUUGUGAUAUCAAUUUUUUAUCUUUGUCCCCACAACACGACUGCAAUUGAGAACCCGCAUUAGAUCCACUCGACCGCGAUUCUCUGCAAUAACAAAAAUUGCAAAGCCAUCGUAAUUCAAAACCAUCUAGCCAGCCACCAUCAUGAUUGCUGAUUGCAAAUGUUUCCGACAUGACCUAUAUAUGAGGGGACUUGAGAAGAAUGUUGCCUAGAUAUGUCAUCCUCACUGUAUGUAUAGUAGGUGUUCACUUGCAUUACAUUGAAAAUUACUGUCCAAAUGGUUGAGAUUUUCUAUUUCUAGAACUCACAAUUGUAUAAUACAAAUAGUUGAGAUUCACACACAUAAUCUGGAUCCAGCAUACCUGUCUGCAUUUUGGCAUGGUUUGUAUUAUGUGCUUCCCAAACCAUUCGAACAGAGAUUUAUAUCAUUUGUCACUUGAUUUUUUUGAACAAAUAUAGUGUUUGUAUUAGUUGAAAUGGAGACUAUUGUAGUUUCAAAAUGUUGCAGUGAACUUGAUAAUAAUAGCCACAUUAGUUUUACCUUAUACAUUAGCACACUAGCUAAAAAUGCAUGCUACUGCUAUUAGUUUCAAUGUAAUGUAAUUGUAUCUACAUUAAUAAAAUCACUUUUUUAAGAAAUUGAAAACUACUUUCAUUUUCAUGCUUAUGCUACAUCAUGUUUCUAUGUCGGCAUAAUUGGGACUGGUUGGGUGCAAUAUUUAUGCGGAUAUUGGAGUCUGUUAGCUUGGCUUAGACAUUUGAAUUAUUUUGUGGAUACAUAUUUUAAUCUAUUUUGUCAAUAAUAUAGAAGUAUAUAAUUUUAUAUACAGUGAAAUAAUUCAUUUUUGGAGAAACCAACCACCAACUACAAUGAUUCUAUCAUACAAAUAAAAUAUGAUUUUUCCUAGUACAAAUAGUAGAAUAUUAGUGUCCUGAUUAAAAGCUAAAAAGGAACACACAUUCUCAUGAUACACCUACUAAUAAAAUACACCUUUUAACAAAAGUAAUAAGAAGCUAUUAUAUUACCAUAAAAUGUUGAACAAUCAAAAUUAUUCACUACUAAGUUCAAUUCA